GAUCUACUCCCUCCGUCCCAAAAUUCUUGUCUUAGAUUUGUCUAGAUAUGGAUGUAUCUAAUACUAAAAUGUGACUUGAUACAUCCGUAUUUAGACAAAUCUAAGACAAGAAUUUUGAGACGGAGGGAGUAGUAA
rnacentral:pre_miRNA from 1 species